GUAGGGAAUAUUGGGCAAUGGAUGCAAGUCUGACCCAGCCAUCCCGCGUGCCGGAAGAAGGCCCUCAGGGUUGUAAACGGCUUUUGACGGUGAAGAAUCGACAGGAUGCGUCCUGUUUUGACGGUAGCCGUUGAAUAAGCACCGGCUAACUCCGUGCCAGCAGCCGCGGUAAUACGGAGGGUGCGAGCGUUGUCCGGAUUUAUUGGGUUUAAAGGGUGCGUAGGCUGGAAGGUCAGUCAGCGGUGAAAAGCUGUCGCUUAACGAUAGUCUUGCCGCAGAUACUUCCUUUCUUGGAUGAGGAGGAGGCCACUGGAACGGAUGGUGUAGCGGUGAAAUGCAUUGAUAUCAUCCAGAACACCGAUUGCGAAGGCAGGUGGCUGUACCUUAAUCGACGCUGAUGCACGAAAGCAUGGGGAGCAAACAGGAUUAGAAACCCUUGUAGUCC
rnacentral:rRNA from 1 species